GGAUCAGGAGCCAAGGCACGUUUUAUAGGCUUGUGAGGUGCCAGCGUCAUAAAGGGAGUGGAGUGAGGAGCUUCAUCGGCUGGACUAACUUUGGUGCCUGAAAAGCUGUUUGCAUAUCCAGCAGACACUGAUUUCCAUUUGAACACCAUGCAGACCUUGUUUCAAGAAUGUUGAUAGUGCUACCUAGGCAGGCUUAGUCUGUGGCUGAUCUGCAGUUCCUGUGUCAGACAUCUACCCCAG